AUACUAAUAUAUGGAUAAUACAUAUCUAACGUUGUAUCUAUCUGUUCCUAUCAGCCUCACAUCUGAUACAUUCGCCAUCGAGAAACAACAAAUGUUAAACUAAUUUUAGGAAUUAGGCGGAGUGUUUAGUAGUUUGCUCUGCCGCGGGUCGGCCCGAUAUUGCAGUACUGUCGGGAUUUUGGCCCAUCUGAC